CAUCAUAGAAUCCUUCAUCUCUCAGAUCAAACCAUAUAAUUGUUCCUUAUCACUUGUCAACAUUCAAAAAAAGAGAUUAGUUUCUGUCUUUUUGACUAUUCUCCACGCACAUUCUUUCCACAUCUAGCUUCUUCACGUGGAUUAGUGUUAUUUGACACACAGAUUCUCACAUCCAAAUACAAAAAUGGAGUCACAGGUGGACGGUGCAAAGCAAUUGUACCCUUUAAAAAAGAAGAGGCAUGUUGAUUUAUCUAUUUUGGUGCCAUGAACACCUCUUAACUACCUUCCAAUUGCUUACAAUUUUUUAUCUUCUUUCUAGGGUUGGCCUCGCAUCUGUCAUCAAGCUUUUUCUCUACCACUCUUGAAUUUACUAUCCAUGUCUUUUGGCUUUUCUCCACGUGGAAUGACUAGGCUCUCACUCUCUUGGUAGAUAGAGUGGUGCGAUUUACGAAAAAGAAGAAUAAUCAUAGGGUACUUAGUGGGAUAAGCAUGCCUCAAUGACAGAAUGAUGCCUCCUGGGACCAGUUCUUAAGGGUCCAAGGUGGUUAUAUACUAGGAAUGUUGGACAGACUGAACCAAGACAAAAUCCCCACUUCUAGUAGUUGUUUGUUUCUAUCUGAAAUAAUAGCUCUUUGCAGCACUAAAACAUGCAGAAAAGAAAGAGGAAGAAGAAGAAGAUGGUGAUGAGAAUUUCAAGUGUUGGAUAAUGUUAUCUACCCUCUUCUUCCUUCACGGGAUGCAAGGGGACACAAGGCAAGUCAUUGAGGCAAAGGGAAGGCCAAGCCUUUCUUCCGGUUUUCUUAAUUAGUUCUUUUGUGUUCAUGUCAUCCUUGGCAUAAACUGGUUAUGUUUUCAGUCAUGAAUUCUGUACUGGUGGAUUUUCUACUGUAAAAUGUGGUUGCUUCCAUAAUGCUAGAGUGGAUUUUCUACUU